AAUAUUGGACAAUGGGGGCAACCCUGAUCCAGCCAUGCCGCGUGUGUGAAGAAGGUCUUCGGAUUGUAAGCACCUUAAGUUGGGAGGCAGGGGCUUAGGGUAAAUACCUGCAGGUUUUACCGUUACCAAAGGAUAAGGACCGGCUAACUUUGUUGCAGGAGCCGCGAUAAUACAGAGGGUGCAAGCGUUAAUCGGAAUUACUGGGCGUAAAGCGCGCGUAGGUGGUUCAGUAAGAUGGGUGUGAAAUCCCCGGGCUUAACCUGGGAACUGCUUUCAUAACUGCUGAGCUAGAGUACGGUAGAGGGUAGUGGAAUUUCCUGUGUAGCGGUGAAAUGCGUAGAUAUAGGAAGGAACACCAGUGGCGAAGGCGACUACUUGGACUGAUACUGACACUGAGGUGCGAAAGCGUGGGGAGCAAAC
rnacentral:rRNA from 1 species